UCAAUAUUAUGUUUUACUUCCUUCAAUAGCUUUCAGUUGCGUUCUGAUCGACAACAUAUUCGUUUGCAAUGACUCACACCGUACUCACUGCUCUCCUUCUUGUGGCUUUAAUUUCGGCUAACUUGGCCGCUCCCGCGCAUGAAAUGGAAGAAAGAGGUGGCGAAAUUAGGGAAGAACGUUGGGGUUGGUUCCGAUUGAUAGGCACAGCGGUUAAGGGAGCGUUUAAUUCCUUAAUGGGAGAAGACCAAUGAAACUAAUCGCUGCCCAGGACGAAAUUUCGAAAUUUGUCACUUCAACCGUCUAUAAUGUAUCGUCGCUGGUCUGCAAAGUAAGCUCGGUGUUUUUCUCAAAUGGGAUUUAUUUAUGACAAAAUUAUCAGUGUCAAAAAAUUUGCUUGCAGUUUCUUCUCUUGUAAUAAAUAUUUACCAUAAUUAAAUUG